rnacentral:misc_RNA from 1 species
GUGAGUCAUCGAAUCUUUGAACGCACUUUGCACUCCUUUGGAGUAUGCCUGUUUGAGAAUCUAUAGUAUUCAUUUUCCCUUAGUGUCGUACUUGUACGGGGCCUAGGGAGAGAUUUGAGGCUUCCCUUUUUUCGGACUGGGUGCCUUUAAAAAUAUUGCCUGGGUUUGGUUAGAGGUGCUUGACAUCUCUUAUUAAUCUCUGCAGAAAAGUAUUUGAAUGAAACCGUGGUUUCUCGUAUGCCAAAUAUGCAGAGUUAGAGAUUAGUCUCUAGCCAAGUCUAGGUCCAUAACCAUAAAGUC